AUCCUUUUGUAGUUCAUAAACAUGAUGAUUGGGUGUUCACACUCUUGUGUGAGAUGAGCCUCCCACAAACCUUGUUAGGACUUCAGCACAUUAGCCAUCUGACA
rnacentral:snoRNA from 1 species